CUACGGGUGGCUCCAGUGGGGAAUAUUGGACAAUGGGGGAAACCCUGAUCCAGCAAUGCCGCGUGUGUGAAGAAGGCCUGCGGGUUGUAAAGCACUUUCGGUUGGGAGGACUGCUUCUAGCACUAAUAUUGUUGGAAGUUGACGUUACCUUCAGAAGAAGCACCGGCUAACUCCGUGCCAGCAGCCGCGGUAAUACGGGGGGUGCAAGCGUUAAUCGGAAUUACUGGGCGUAAAGCGCGCGUAGGCGGCUAGAUCAGUCGGGUGUGAAAGCCCCGGGCUUAACCUGGGAACUGCACCUGAUACUGUCUAGCUUGAGUACAGGAGAGGGGAGUGGAAUUCCACAUGUAGCGGUGAAAUGCGUAGAUAUGUGGAGGAACACCAAUGGCGAAGGCAGCUCUCUGGCCUGAUACUGACGCUGAGGUGCGAAAGCGUGGGGAGCAAACAGGAUUAGAUACCCCGGUAGUC
rnacentral:rRNA from 1 species